GCCCGGUAGCUACGUUCGGAACUGAUAAGCGCUGAAAGCAUCUAAGCGCGAAGCAGGCCUCGAGAUGAGUUCUCACUAGACUUUUAAAGUCUCUGAAGGGCCGUUGAAGACUACAACGUUGAUAGGCAGGAUGUGGAAGUGGUGYGAGCCAUUAAGCUAACCUGUACUAAUUACCCGUGAGGCUUAACCAUACAACGCCAAACGCGUUU
rnacentral:rRNA from 1 species